rnacentral:lncRNA from 10 species
AGGCCGUCUGGCCUGUCUAAUAACUGCAGUAUGAUCAUGAGAGGGAAAUACACCCCUUAGCAGCCAGUCAAGGUCUCUACGUAUGGGGUUACAGAUGGCCAAUGAUCUCUCCAACUAUUCUCUGAACUUGGUCCACAUACAGAAAGAGAGGAAUUGUGCCUCAGAAGCUGUAUGUAAUGGAUGACACCCAGGAGCCUCAUCUGCACCUGGACCUAAUAUGGUGAUAAAAUUUUAGGCUUGGAGCUGAUACUGUAAUGAGGUCAUGUUUCCUGAGGCUGUUUUUCCUGAAUAAUCUACAAACUCAAGCAAAGUAAUAAUUAUAUUCAAACAAAUAAACUUUUCUCUAACAUGGAGUCAGUACUGUGAAAAAGUAUCCAUUUUUAACUGUUGCACCUUGGGUUCUUAUUUCAAAAAGUUCCAUGAAGAAGAUCAGCCCCAGCAAAACAAACAAACAAACAAACAAAAACAGUUGGAUCCAGAGAUGCCUGAGUUAGAGAUGACUUUGGCAACUCUCCUCAUUGGCAUACUUAAAACCCUGCUCAGGGAGGAGCUUAUUUGCCACCUUCUAUGCGGAAGCAUGUUCACGACUGCACCUGUGCUGCCUUUACUCCACCUCUACAUACAAUGACUCGGCUAACCAGCCCCACCAAGGCCCUUGUUUUCACCUUCGUUCCAGGAGGUGCUGCUUUGAGGAAUUAUCCCCAGUGUCCUCCUUGUUGCAAGUAAUAAAAUCCUCUUGUUAAGUC